AAAAUAAAGGUAUUGUGUCCAUCUAUAAGCUAGACCAGAAAAAAAAUUUGCAAAACUCUAACCAUGGAUUGGUAUAAGCACUCUCUGCUUAUCUGAACCUAUAACUAUCUAUAUCUACCUGCAUUUACACCUCUAUAAAAGAUAAACAGCUCCGUAUAAAAAUGGGCAAGGAUACGAGUAGCAGAUCAAAGAAAAAUCCAAAGGAAAAUGCUAGGCCUCGCUAUUAAGCAAGGAGAUGCAAAAUAAAACAACAAAACAAUGAAAUAACAUUCACACCCAUCAAAUUGGCAAGAACAAGGCAGUGUUAUAAUAUCAAACUGUGGAAACACAAACUCUUAGAUAUUAGUGGUGAUAAUGUAAAUUGGUGGGCAGUUUGGCAAUACUUAGCAGAGGAGAAGCAACCCCAUUUGUAGGAAUCCACCCAGGAGAAACUAACAUUUGCAUAUGAGAAGAAUUGUUCAAGGAAUCAUUAAUUUAUUCAUUUAAAAAAUGUAUUGAGAGCUGAGAUUGUAGCUCAGUUGUAGAGCGUUUGCCUAGCACACAUAGUACUGGGUUCAAUCCUCAGCACCACUCAAAAAUAAAUAAAUAAAAUAAAGGUAUUAAAAAUGUAUUAAAUUUCUCAUUUGUGACAGGUGAUGUUCUAGGCUAUAGGCAUACAGCCAUGAAAUAAAGAGUUAAAAAUCUCUGUUCUAGUGAGGAUCAAAGAUAAUUAGCAAGAUCUGGG
rnacentral:lncRNA from 1 species